rnacentral:rRNA from 1 species
AACGAACGCUGGCGGCAUGCCUAACACAUGCAAGUCGAACGAUCCCUUCGGGGAUAGUGGCGCACGGGUGCGUAACGCGUGGGAACCUGCCCUUAGGUUCGGAAUAACUCCCCGAAAGGGGUGCUAAUACCGGAUAAUGUCUUCGGACCAAAGAUUUAUCGCCUUUGGAUGGGCCCGCGUUGGAUUAGCUUGUUGGUGGGGUAAUGGCCUACCAAGGCGACGAUCCAUAGCUGGUCUUAGAGGAUGAUCAGCCACACUGGGACUGAGACACGGCCCAGACUCCUACGGGAGGCAGCAGUGGGGAAUAUUGGACAAUGGGCGAAAGCCUGAUCCAGCAAUGCCGCGUGAGUGAUGAAGGCCCUAGGGUUGUAAAGCUCUUUUACCAGGGAUGAUAAUGACAGUACCUGGAGAAUAAGCUCCGGCUAACUCCGUGCCAGCCGCCGCAGUAAAAC